UGCGUAGGUGGCCGAUUAAGUCAGUGGUGAUAGCCUACAGCUCAACUGUAGAGGUGCCAUUGAUACUGGUCGGCUUGAGUAUGGACGAGGUAGGCGGAAUUUGUGGUGUAGCGGUGAAAUGCAUAGAUACCACAAAGAACACCAAUAGCGAAGGCAGCUUACUGGACCAUAACUGACACUGAGGCACGAAAGCGUGGGGAGCGAACAGGAUUAGAUACCCUGGUAGUCC
rnacentral:rRNA from 1 species